ACUCAAAUGAAUUGACGGGGGCCCGCACAAGCGGUGGAGCAUGUGGUUCAAUUCGAAGCAACGCGCAGAACCUUACCAUCCCUUGACAUCCCGUGCUACUUGGAGAGAUCCAGGGUUCCCUUCGGGGACGCGGAGACAGGUGCUGCAUGGCUGUCGUCAGCUCGUGUCGUGAGAUGUUGGGUUAAGUCCCGCAACGAGCGCAACCCUCGCCCUUAGUUGCCAGCAUUAAGUUGGGCACUCUAAGGGGACUGCCGGUGAUAAGCCGCGAGGAAGGUGGGGAUGACGUCAAGUCCUCAUGGCCCUUACGGGAUGGGCUACACACGUGCUACAAUGGCGGUGACAAUGGGCAGCGAAAGGGCGACCUGGAGCAAAUCCCAAAAAGCCGUCUCAGUUCAGAUUGCACUCUGCAACUCGAGUGCAUGAAGGCGGAAUCGCUAGUAAUCGUGGAUCAGCAUGCCACGGUGAAUACGUUCCCGGGCCUUGUACACACCGCCCGU
rnacentral:rRNA from 1 species